rnacentral:rRNA from 1 species
CCUACGGGAGGCAGCAGUGGGGAAUAUUGCACAAUGGGGGAAACUCUGAUGCAGCGACGCCGCGUGAGUGAAGAAGUCCUUCGGUAUGUAAAGCUCUAUCAGCAGGGAAGUAAACUAUGGUACUUGUUUAAUCAUCUCUGGCUAAUUUCGUUCCAGCAGCCGCGGUAAUACGGAGGAGGCAAGGGUUAUCCGGAUUUACUGGGCGUAAAGGGAGCGUAGGCGGCUGGACAAGUCAGGAGUGAAAUGUUGGGGCUUAACCCCGAAAUUGCAUUUGAAACUGGGAAGUUAGAGUGCAGGAGAGGUGGGUGGAAUUCGUGGUGUAGCGGUGAAAUGCGUAGAGAUUAGGAAGAACACCGAUGGCGAAGGCAGCUUACUGGACUGUAACUGACGUUGAGGCUCGAAAGCGUGGGGAGCAAACAGGAUUAGAUACCCGAGUAGUC